AGAAGAGGGCAGGGUCGUGUGGGGAGGCUGGGCGGACCCCUAGGGAGCGAGGCUGUGGCGGGACAGCGGAGCUGUGGUGGGGGCCUAGAGCCGGCAGCCUGGGCUUCGCCGGGCCCUGCCUUACCCAGGCGAGCCCCAGUGCGGGUCCCGGCGGCAGCCGGCAGCGCUCCCUCUGGCCCCGCUUUCAGUCGGGCUGGCUGCCCGCUCACCACGCUUCAGCCCCGGGGGGGCAGCGGGCGGGGGCCUGCCGUGGCACUAGCUGAGGUCCAGUUAGGGGACCCUAUAUCAAUCCCCCUUAUUCCGUGAUACCUGUGUGGGCCCUGCACAGCGAAUGGAAGUAACGGGUAACAAACAAAACUAUUUUUGUCAUUUACGGCAGCAAAUUUCCCUGAUUUUCUCUGCCACAAGAAAGUGAUUCAGCCUCCAGCAUCUCUCCUCUCUCUUCACCACAUCCAAUCCAUCAAAAAUAGGCAAGGAGGUUUAUGAACAAGGUUUCCAUACCAAGUUACAUCAUUACGUAUGUAUCCAGCUUUAUUUACUAAUUAAGCACCACCUGUACUUUUGGCACUUUACAACAAAGACAUGUUCCGGGCCUCAGCAAUCUUAGACUCCACCGACCCAUAGUGAGAUGCUAUGAGUUGGAAUUCACAGAUUAUUUUGCUGUGGCCAUUUGUGAAUGCCUUACAAAAGAGGUAUGUUUUGAGAGGAUUUAACUGAAAUGAGAGUUUUAUAGUGCAUAAAAAGAGGACAGCUGUUCCAAGGACUAGGCCCGCUCCUAUAAAGCAAGCGUAUUUAGGGAAAGAUGAACUUGUUUUGUCUGAUUUUCAGCCCUCAUAAAACACAGAUCAAAUACUUGAUUCAAACUUUGUGGAGUUGGCAUUUCACACAGGAAGAACUCUGUGAAGAGAAGUUGGGAUUUUGGUGGUGGGAAGAAAGAAAAUCAUUCCUCCUCCCCCGCCACGUACACACACAUUCAUAGGGCAAUCACUUGCGCCAGCUUUUGGCAUAGGCUUUCCUUUAGUUACAAAAACAUGGUUUUCAAACUGAAUCAAUCUUGAAAAUAAAAUGGGGUUAAAUUACACAGAUCAAGCUGACAAAAAUGUAACUAGCUUGCAAAUCCAGCUAGAUAGUUGCAGAAGUUUACAAAAAUAAUUUCAUGCAGGUUAUAUAUCCUUAUAUUACUGUCUACAUAAGUUUCAAAGAGGUAAAUGAAUGUUACAUUACAAGCUCUCAAAACCGCCAUUUCUUGGUCAUAACUAGCAGUCUCAAGACCACUGAUUGCCACAAAUUUCUCUCUCAGUUCUGUAUUCCUGUUGAAUAAUUUGGCUCCAAUUCUGAUCUAGGCAACAUCUGAACAUGCAUUCCGUGAUCUCCUUACAACUCUUCAUGUGUUGCCAGCGUUUUCUUGAAGUCCAUACAGUAGUAGUAGCCAGGGCUGGCUUCAGCUUUUUUGCUGCCCUGGUAGUAGCAUCCAAAGUCUUGCUGUUGCUUUGCCUUCUGCUAUACUUAAUUCCUACAAUAGAGGAUGUGGCAUGCAGGUCAGACAUUGGGAGGAAGCAAUAGAGUGUAAACCAUGGAAGAGUAUUUGGAGUUACAGAUAGUUCAAUAGAGACAACAGUUCUCUAUUUUGUAUUCUUUCAGCAUUCCUAAGAUGAAUUGUAGUAUUCUGUUAAGGCGUUCAUAAGCCUCAUUUCCUUAAUGAGAGAGUGUCAAGUAGUCCAUCACAAAUUUCUAAUAAAAUGGUCUUCUAAUUGGGCAAGUGGUACUUUAUGUCUUUCUGAAAUCUUCAACAAAGUGAAAUUCUGACAUUUUGCUUACAAUUUAGCAUCUUCUUGCCAGAUUUGUGGUUGAUAAAAUCUUCUCUUCAUCAGUUAAGUAGCAUUCUCUGGACCAAGAUGUCCACUGCAGUUUAAUAAAUCACAAGGCACUUUCUCCUUGAGAAUUACUAUCAUUAGAUUUCCAUCUCCUGGUUGUUGUACAUCUCCCUAUACAGGACUCCAUUACUUUUCAAUUUAAACUUCCUAUGGCAUAAGAUUUCCUCAAUUUCUUUCAAUAAUCUGGUUCUCCCACUCCCAAUGGGGUUGGCCUCCCACUUUCAGUAUGCCCAGUCUGUUCUAACUUAUGUGGAGAGAUAUAAUUACAAGGUUAUUUAAAGGCUUUAAAUGACUUAAUUCUACUAUUUUGAAUCAUCCUCCCUUCACUAUCAUCCUUUGGGUCUUCUCCAUGUUUUGUACUGCAUUUCUAGAAGGGCAACCACAUUACUAUACUGUUUUCAUAGCAGUGGUUUAAUUCAGACUGUGAAGUUAGCCAGUCUUGGUUCAAGUGCCCCCACCUUUGCAUUAGUUAGCUGUAGAAAGGGGCUGUUACUGUAUAUGAAGCCAGUUCAGAUUCUGACAACAUGGGGAAAUAAUCCACCACUUUCCAAAAUAAAGGCAAGUUUCAGGUUGAAGGAGCUAUAGUUUGUUCAAUGUCACUCAAAUAGCCUCAAAACUUCUUUCUUGUCAUUUCUGGUUUUGAGUCAGCACAGCUUCCAACACUAAACUUCUGCCACAUCAACAUCUUGGCUUCCAUGAUGUGCAGCAGGGGCCACUGGAGUAUAUGUGCAGUAAGCUUCUGUCUUAACCCUCUUCAUCCCCUUCCCCCACCUAAUUCCUCAUCUGAUUGUGAGUGGACUGCUGCCAUGGAGACACCGAAAUAGCUAAUAAGAGGGAUAAUUGGGAGGAGCAGCACAGCUGUUGAAGUGGGGAAGGGAGAGGAAGCACAGUCACUGGUGCAACAAGGAGAGGGGGAGCACAACAACAAUGGAAGAGAGAUGAGGGACUGCAGCCACCAAGAGAAGGCACACUGAGUUCAUGGGGAGGAAGGAUCUAGACUAAUUUUUGGAAUCAUUGGAGAUGGGUCCUGGGUACCUCAGAAGAUGUUGAACCCUUCCAUGACCUCCACUUCUCUGUCUCUCACCAUAGUUUUAAAUGAAUUUUAGCUUAUCACUACAUACAGUGUAUUGAGAGGUUUAUUUUGUAAUAAAAUAUCUUGAAAAAUCAUCA